rnacentral:tRNA from 1 species
GCGGUAGUAGCUCAGUGGUAGAGUGCGACCUUGCCAAGGUCGAUGUCGCGAGUUCAAGUCUCGUCUACCGCUCCA